rnacentral:lncRNA from 1 species
CAGAAAACAAAAUGGUGGAACAAACAAGACGCCCAAGUCAUGUCAUUGCCCUCCAGGCUGGACCUAGUGAGGUGGACCCUGGCACCCUGAGGAUCAGUGAUAGGGUUGUACGGACCUGUGGCCGCCAGUUGGCUUUAAUCGGUGACCAGCUAGACCGAGAGUAUGCCAGCAGAAUGCCAAACCAGCUUCCGACUCCCUUAAACUUCCUGAGACCUGCCCAGGCACUGACCCGGACCAUCUAUAGGGAUAUUCACAGUCAGUUAGCAACUUUUCGGGGUUUGUCUGCUGCAGUGAAGACCUGGUUAGUGAGCACUGCACCUGGGCAGGGGAUCCUCAGAGUUGAGGCCUUGACAGCUUGGGCAUCCAACUUAAACCCAGUAACCUGCACUGGCUGGAACAGAGGAGCACUUGUUAUUGUGACACUGGUGGCCAUGGUGACCAUUUUCAGUGCACUAUGGACGGAGCAGAAAGCCUAAGGGGGCCACGAGCAGGUCUUCUCAGCCAUGUUUGUCAAAAUAUGUUUGCUAUCGAGUGAGAAUUACUGCUAACUGUUUUCUCUUGCUGUUUACUUUGACUUUUCCUUUUUUUAAUAACUGUUUUUAUUGAGCGGUAUUGAAGUUGAAAGUGAAGACGACAACCUUUUUGGCAACGCAGAAGAAAAGAGAAGGAAAAAAAAAAAAAAGAGUAUAAUGUAAAAUUAGUUGGGAGUAAAUUGUUUAAAGGAAAUCUAGCGUUGCCUAAGGAGUUGGCCAGUUUAUUGUAGCAGUGGCAUGUUGAUUCAUGUCAGAAAACAUGUUGACUGGACUGUUGCUGGCUUGCAGUCUUUUGUAUCCAGAUUUGUUUCUUACUGGUUUAAGAGGCCAAAUUUUUUCAAAUGGUAUGUAGCAUUGCUUAGUGUACAAUGAAGGGAGCUGGACUUUCUGUUCAAGAUUUGAAACUGCUUUUUCAUGUGACGCCAAAUAAACUUAAAAUAAAC